rnacentral:misc_RNA from 1 species
UCGACGACAAGAGGCGAUUGAGGAUGAGGAAAACUUUUGCACUCCGACUGUGACACGGAUAUAUACCCUUUGGCACGCCAUUUUGCGUUUUGCGAUUUUUGCCAGGUUUUUUUGCCGCCACCACCUCCGUGACUAAUUCCCUUUGUUGCCCCGUCCCCAAAAGGCAACUGUUCACGGCGAAUGCGGUCCGUUUGUGCGGCUUGGAAAUGGCGGCCACAUGCACUGGGUGACAUAUUUGGUUGCCACGGGGGCUUUUUGGCUGUGGAGCAGGACUGGCGUGGAGCUGGCGGUGCGGCGAGUACGGCCAUCUGGUUGGUUUCCCGCUGCCGUUGGAAUUGUGGCUGUUGGAGACGAUUGUGUCCUCAAGACACGCCUCUCUGUCUCCUCCCUCUUUGAGUGAAAAAUGACAAACUCAAAUUGUUGCUAUGGAAGACAAGGGACAAGAUCCACCUGGUAGCGUGCGGUUGAGGGGAAAAGAUAUUGGUGAGAGGGGAAGUGUUGACUCAUUCAAUAUUGCUGAGACAGUCGGGGCUUUGGGGGGGAAUGUAGCUUAUGUAAUCUGUGCGGUGGUGGUACAGCCGCGAUUCCGACUUUCUGCUUAUAAAUCACUUGCAGUAAGGUGUACUACAAGUACAAGUAGCAGACUCGCCACUUCAGCACCAUCGUGUGCAUCUCGCGGUCCAGCGGGAGGGAGGAGCGGCUCAGCCGGAAAAAAAGACGGGCAGAAAUAGAACAAAAGGAAGCAUACCGAAGAUCCGGAAAAACUAUGUCAUGGGCAGAGAAGGGCGUGCGGAUUAAUUCGAAAAAAUUCGAUUAAUUGGAUUAAUUGGUAAAAGUCGAUUGAUUCAUCUUCGAGGCGUAUUGUAUUAUGUUCGAUUUAGGAUGUGUUUUAUAAUUAGUUCAUGUACAUAUCUCCG